CUCGAUGAUCUUAGAAGUCUUUUCCAACCUAAACAAUUCUAUGAUUUAUCCAUGAGAACAUCAGAAAGUGGGGUUCACCACUGCGACUCCUCAUCAGCUGAGCCCCUGGAGCUCCGAAAUACUCCCCUGUGGGAGGAAUGUGUGUUGCGAGGGUACAUAAUCACUGAUGCUCUCAUAGUAUUGCAUGUGGAGCCAGGCCUCCGUGCGCCUAGCCUGCCUGUUCCUGCAUGGGUUGCAGUCAGCUGAAAGGAGAUCAGAGGGCUUCAAUUAAUUUGCAGUUUGAGAAAUACAUACUGAAAAAGUUGUCACGUGGCUUCGCUGACACGGACAGAUUCCUGCAGGAAUCUGUGAGCACGUGCAGGUGUAAACUUUAUCCAAGGGUGUAUGCAUAUAUGGAGCUGCAAUUUUAUAUAGCCUACAAUUACGCAUAAAAUGAAGAAUAUUAAUAGUUCACUGCCUCUCAUGAUUCUUGGUUUUUUUUCAUUCCAAUCCUUUUAGCUUUUUAUUUCAGUAAGAAAUGUGGGGCAGCAGAUCAGCGCUCUUUUCGUCUCUGUCAGCAUCCGGCCUUUGUUGCGGAGAUUGUGAUGAUUCAGCCAUUGGACUAAUCUCAGAUGAGACGUGCGUUUGCUAGAAAGAGUAAGAUAUGACAUUCUUUGAUGAGGAAGCAGUAGAGUUUUUUCCUCAUUCUCCUUAAAUCAUCUGCCAGGGACCAAGGUCCUCCUCUUGGCCUGCGUAUCAGGAUCAAUGAACUCUAGGACUUUUUGGAGUGGUUUGACACUGUUGCUUUAUGGGGUGUCUUGUCAAGCAUAUGAAACAUGACAGCUGGGCGCUCAUACUUCAAGUGCACAAACACAAUGGAUCAAACACAUUGCAAUUCUGCAUCUGUCUGCCGUGGUUUCUCUUGGUUUAUUCCCCCUCUUGUUCAUUCUGAACAAGCUGGACUUUUCAUAUCCCUACCAGCCUUAGAAGCUGAACGUCUCUUUCUCAUUUUUAACAAAAACUUGAGCCAGUCCUGGAUUCCAGUGGUUAUUGCAUAAUUUACAAGCAAGAGAUACAUUUUCUAGCUACCCUUUGCCAACUUAGGAUCUGAAGUAAAGUGAAUCUUUCUGAUUCGCAUUUCAUAGUUCUACACAUUAUGUUUUGUUUUCCUUUACAUCGGUGCAACAUACAAUUCUGCAGUUGUUUUAAGCAGAGACUAUUAAAAACUGUUACUGUGGUAAGGUCUUCCACCCAAAUGAGUAACCUCACAAAAAAUAUCUCACUGCUUAAUCAUUGUUGACAUUUGCAAACAACAAGGUUUUAAUUAAUAGUUCCAUUGAUGAUCCAUGACUUUCAAAAAUUCAUUUUGCUUUCCACUUAAUUAGCUACAAAAACCUAAUAAUUAGGGACAAUAGAGAUCAAGUCUCUAUUACAGAAGAAAGAGGAAGGAAGUGCCACAGUCCUUUUUGAGAAAAUAAACUACUAUGUUAAAACAAGAUCGUAAGUUCUAUAGGCAAUUUAAAUAUGAAUUUUGUCUGUGGUGAUCUUUCCCCUCUUCUUCAGUGAAAAUAAUGUCCCUGAUGUAGAAUGUUUCCCAGGUUGCCACAGGGGGUGUGGCUAGCAAUUGUUUUAUUUAAGGAUUUUUUCCCAAGGCUUUUUUAUAUCUUCCCUUUGCUCUUAUUUUUCCUACCGUAAGAAGUGUUAAAGAACUGCUUUUUGUUAGGCAUUUUCUUCAGAGAAACAAUCCUGGAAUCUCAGCAGCAGAGAGUGAAAUGAAAAACUUCAACUUAUUUUCUCCUUUUGGUGUUAUUUCUUCUGUAUGUACAAACUUCCCCUUACAUAGAAUCAAGGCUAUUUGGUGACAUUAAUGAGAAAUUGACCUAAAACCAGUAAAGUUGGAAGGGUUUUUUUUUUGCUAGGCACCUGCCUAGCCACCUUAAAAACAAAAGGAAAAAUGAGUGAUGCAUACAGGGAAAUACCUGUUGUUUGGACUAGAAAACUCAGAAAACUGAGGAUCUGAUGGUUCCUUGGAUGCAAAGCAAAGAUCCUGACUUUCAAGGAGUCUAAAAGGCUAUCCAGUGAGUUUGCCUCAUAAACUCCUAGAACAAGUGCUGGAAGUCUUCUUACGUAGUGGGAAUUCUGCUUGAAUAAGGAAUACAGCUUUCAAGCAGUAUCCACAACGGAUUGCAAGGCUUGAGGGAAGAGUCAGAGUUUGGUGACGUUGGUUAAAAUAACUAUUAAGGACUGAAGCAACAGCCUGCAGCCUAGUUGCCAUGAAGUUUUGCAGAUAUUUUUUUUUUUUCUGUUGUGAAAAUUGAGUAGAGCCCAUGAGGAUCCAUUUGCAGUAUAACACUGCUAAUUAUGUCUUUUCUCAGUAGGACAGAGGCGUGUUUGUGGUUUUUUCUUCGUGGCAACUCAAUACAGACACUGUUCUAGACGAGGGAGACUUCAGCCCAAGAACUCUUUAAGUCAUGGAGAAAGCAGGUUGCUCUCUACUCAUUCAGCUGCGUUGCAUGCUUGGCGAUCAAUUCCCAUCUGCCAAGUGCCUUGAGAAUACUUCGUGUUAACAUCAGGCAUGCAUGUUAAUAUGAAAAAGCAGUAACUCCCAGAAAGUUUAGCACAUCAUGGUCACGUUAGCUAAAUAAUGUGAAGCAGGACUUCUGCGAGGAAGGCAAUGGCUAGUGCUGGAUACUGUUCUCCAGUUUGUAAAAUUAAUAAUACUGCAAGGGAAUGUGUAACCAGUUGGUUUGGGAGGAAGCAGUGCACUUGCCCUGAAAAGUCAUUUGACAGAAAGUGAUGCAAGUGCAGUAAUUGCAAGGGCUGCCUCUGGUACCUCUGCCACUGAUGCAGGAAGUUGGCCUUGAACUUCUUCACUGAAGGAGAAAUAAACCACGCUCAUUCUAAAUAAUGGGAGACUGUUGUCUGAAACUCCUAAAUAGGAAAAAAUAGUUUUUUAUAAAAUGGUACAGUAUUUUUUCCAUUUACCGCUUGCGAGACAACCUUCUGAAGAAAAACCUGCUGCUAUCCUUCAUAUUUGUGAAUAUUCUCUGCGGAAGCUCACUAGUACAUCUGAUGCGUGUCUCCUUUGAAAGUUACACUGGUGAGUACUAAACUGAGUUGAGGAAAGCUCUCUCUCUCUGUGUUUCAGUUUCUUUUGAUAGGAAAGGCUGCAAUUGGAACAUUAGCAAAAGUAUUUUUUUCCCUGAAGUGAAAUGUAGGCAGCUUUGGCUAUCUGAGGGUUAUUCACUUCCUGACAUUCCACUUUUAAGUGAAAUAACUUUCACUGUUAGAGAGUCCUCCCAUGCAGCUGCAAUACACCUUAUAUCCAUGACUUCUUAACUGGCAUUUUAAGUAAUUAUUUUUUUUCUUCUAAUUAUGAAUUCUCAAAGUAGACCUAUAAACAAGAGUGACUGUACUGUCGUUUUCUUAAAUGAGGUCAUUUUGCCUUGUUUUGGCUUAAGAGUGCAGCUCCACAAACAGUCGCAGCAGCACAGCUGAGGGCUAAACUAGCAAAAUGGUUGGAGGAGUUGGGUGAGGAAAAGGGCAGGAACCUCUUAGUCAGGCUUUGCUACUGGAAAAAGUGUAAUGUGGAACCACUUAUGUUAAACCUCAGUCAUGUAUUAAAUGUAUCUGAAUAUUAUUCUUAGUUUCUGCACGAUAAUUUCAUAAGAGAAGUGAUUUGAAAAACAAGAGACAAGUAAACUUGAUUUUCUGCAGAAAACAGAUGUUUCUUUUUAUGUGCUUCCAGUGUUCUUAGAAACAUAAAGAGCAGUGAUACUGCGAUCUUUGAUUAGAGAAAACCUGAAGAAUUCUGACUGGGUUUCUAGUGACUUUUUUUUAAUAUUAGAAAUGGAAGCUGCAUCUGGAAGACUCUAGAAGAGUAACAACAUCAUAAGUGUUGUAAAAAGUUCUACUGUUGGGAAGGAAAGGGAUUUUUAAUUAAAUCAGUGGACUAGACCACUGGGGGUCAACUGGGGACAAGAUGAAGCGGGCAGCUGAUAAAUAAAUAUAUAAGCUACUGGCUGAUCUCACUUGAUGGCAGAACUAGGAUGGUACCAGAGCCAGUCUGUGGCAAAAUUUGUCCCUUUUAGCAGAAGUUACUUUCAAUUACUUUGGGCUAAGUGCAGUUUUACUUUCUUGUGAGUCAUUUCAAUUACAGGAAUGUAAUCUUAGAAGUCCUGAUUUGUAUCUGUAAUCAAUAACAUCUGUAAUAUUUAUGUUAACAUUACAGUUAGUGCUGUGCUUCCUGGUAUCACGGCGCUUCUCAUAUAUAUUUAAGAUGACUCUCCUUUGUUUAGAUACAAAGAUACAGCAUUUGCAAACACUGACACACUGCUUGUCCUAAAAACCCAAAAAGCUAGAACCAAAUCCCUCAAAUAAUGAGAUUUAUGCUCUGUUAAAAUUGAAUUUCUUAUCCCAUUCGCAUUUGCCACUCUUUUCACUUUUAUUUUACAGUGGUGUGCAGUGGUGUCUUACUCUGCCAUCACUGACACACUACAACGUGGUUGUGAGUUUGCACCAGCUCAGUAAGUAAGGUGUCCUGCCCUCCCACUAUUUAAAGAUUCUGCUCUUUCUGGCGAUGUUAAAUUCUCUGUAUGUAGUCUUUGGAAAUGGGGGAGGAGGUUGUUUUCAGAAAUUUGUCUGGGUCUAAAUACCAUGUACGAAUUUAGAAUCAUGAGCCAUGCUGCUAGAAGAUGUUUCUUUAACCUACUACACCUGACAGCUUGGCUGGAGAGACGGUGCGUGUAGCUUUGAUGACACAAGGUUUGGUAACCGUUUGGGCGCAUUCCGAGUGUGAUUUUAUGAAGCAAGAAUGUUUGUGGUAGAUGGCAUGUUUAGGGAGCAAUUCCUGGAACAUAAUGUGAACUAAUGUUCUUCUCUCCAUUCGAAAAGCCAGGAGAAAGAGACUACUGUUUCACAUCUUAAGAGAGCUGAGCUCCCUGGAGGUUGAUGGGUGCCUCUGGCCACUCAGCCUGUAAAAAUAAGGCCUUUUUAAAAAAAUACACCUAAAAAUAGAUUUGGAGUCUGAGAUUACCUUCCUGGAAAUACACCUUCAAAUCUAUUUAUAAUGUAAAAUGAAAUUUGCGGGGUACUUGGGGGGGUUAGGAUGUAAGGUUCUCUACAUAUUCAUUGCUGCUUUUUGACUGGGGUUUUCCUGAGCUUUCCAUGGAUCUGUAAGAAGGGCGAGCAGAAACGCACAUUAUUUUAGCCUUUCCUGGACUCCUGCUGUCAGAAAACCGGCUGUUGCUUGUUCAGGGAGAUAGCCUGGUCUCAUCUAUCAGGUUCUAUCCAUGCACACCUCUUCCUCCCUCAGACGGAAGAUCAGGCAGUUGCUGCUGCCAUCACAGGGCGUCUUCUAGAUUUCAGUACUUAGCCUUCAGUGUUCUUAGGCUUGAGAAAAAGGCCUCUCCCUCUCCUACGCUCUCUCCAUCCUCUCCUUCUGGGCACGCAAAAUGCAUCAGAACUGAUCCCCUCCAUGGUAAAGAGGUUCUGUCGUUGAAAGUGAGGACAGUUUUCUGGAGCUGUUUAGGUUUCAAAAGGUCUAGCAUUGAAUUAAUGACAUGCUGGAGCUGGAAAGAACUGGCCACAUUAAAAGAGAAGGGGUGAUAUGUUCUGGUUUUACAGUGUCUUUCAUUUUCUUUUCCUCACGGAGUCUUUUCUUUAUGCAGUUGUAUUUAAAAAUAUGUCACUUAUUGCCUAUUGUUUUGGGGAUGCUGCCAGGUAUGGUUGUAGGUUUGGGGAUUUGUCCAAAUCCUGUUAAAAGUCAAUCGAAUGUAAUGACUCCGCUAGCCCUCAAUGGAGAUAAAUUGAAUUCUUUGUAGAGUUUGCAAGGGCUGGCCAAGUUAUCUCAGCAUUUUAAUUUCUGUACAUUUGUGUGUAAUUCUUGCAAGACAAAAUAUUAAAAGUUUGAAAUCUGAAAUUCCUUCUAUUGCUUCUGUCUGUAGUUAAAAAUAAGUAAGAUGUCAAGCACAGCAAACCAUGUUGACAAGAAGCUGUCACAGGUAAAAGUCCAGCUAUAGCCAAUAUAACUCGCCUUCUGCACCUCAUUUUAAAUCUUUAAUUAUGUAAUAACAUAAAAUUUAAAAACAGAUACCCCUUGCUUACAUUUUUUCGUCAACCACAGGCGAUGUGUAAUAUUCUUCUCUUUAUGCUUGACAGUACAAGUAAAGAAUGUCCUUGCCUAUAUUACAGAUUAAAUGAAUGUUAGGAAGUGAUACACCAUUUGCGUUAGUUAUUGUGAAUUUAAUGCAUUGUUAAGGUGUCAAGAGAGUUGGUCGAUUCCUGUUGUUGUGAAUUUAACAGUGAUAAUGAGUCAAUUGCUUAGAGUUAAGUUAUAGUAUUAAUUAUUUUGCUGACUGAUGAUUAAUAUAUUACUGAAAAGAAAAAAAUGUUAUGUAUGCGAAAACAAUCAUGAGUUUUCAUGUCAGCUUCUGAGUUACUAAUACUGACCAAAGACAAAUAAAGAAUAAAAAUAAUUUCCAAAUAGGGAUCUUACAAGUGAUUUCAUAUUCUUUUCGGAAUACUUUGAAGACAAACUAUGUUGUUUUUUUGAUUGUACCUUUCUGUUUGAGGACUGGUACAAUUGUAAAUACAAGCAAUUCUUAAGCAGAUAAUAGUCAAGCCAAGAGCUUGUAUAAACCUCAAUUACUGUUUUUUAAACAAUCUAAUUGAGAAACUGUUUGUAAGGUAAACCUUUAAAGAGUAUUGUACACAAAAAGAAAAAAAAAAAAAAGAGUUGGUUCAAAGUGAAACUCAAGAAUUACUGCCCUGGACUUCUCACUUUGUUGUGUAUUUUUGUAGUUAAGAAUCAGGUCAGGAGAAGCCUUGAUUCCUGUAACUUCCACAGUGGUGAUGGUGGGGGUGAAGUACUGUGUUCUCAUCCAGGUUAUUUUUUUUUGUUGUUACAACAUGCAGGAAUUCUUUGGGACAGGCACUAUGCAAAAGUCAGAUGAAAGGACUGUCCCUGUUUGAAGGAGAUUUAUGCAACUACGUAUUUUUUAAAAGAAAGAUUAAUGACACAGGGUGCAAAGCGUUACCCGCUCCAGCUCCUGGCUUCAUGUAUUUUUCCCUCGGAUAACUUGACAUGUCAGUUUGUUCAGCGCCCAGAUGGCCUGGAUACACGAGCAUCAAAUUGGCCGAAUUCUGAACGCCGUGGACUUGCUGCAUGGUAUGCCUGGCACAUCCAGCGAGGCAGAGCUCUCCGGUCUGACACUCGGUGCGUAUGUGUGGAGUCACGUCUGUCCAGGACACGUCUGACUUGUGUGCUGCAGAACACGGCGCUGGACUAGAACAUCUUGCUCUGCGUUGGUACAGGUACUGUUGCCCGAGAGAUCCUGAAUCUGAAAGUUCCUGUUUCCACUCGGGCAUAAUUUCCACGUAGAAGAAGAGGACAUCACCAGAGGAGCUGCAGGACUGCUGUCUUAGAUCUUGCGUUUGGAAGUUAGAGUACAGAUCUCCUAGAUUGGCAUUGCACAGAGGCACAGAAAGCUGCCUGUAUGAAAUGACGUGCAGAUCAAGGCUUUAGAGAGGGGGAAAAUCACUAGACCUGCUGAUAUCAAUGGAAACUAAGAAUGAAACGCUAGGCUUUCACAGAUCAACAGAGGAUGGAAAAAUCACUAAAAAUGAUAGACAAAUUUUCGCAAAACCUUAAAACUUGACAGGCACUCAGAGGAAACUCUAUUGUCUGAAGAAACCACUUAACCUUUUCAGGUCCUCAACAGCUUAUGGAUGGUUAUAAUCAGGACAAUAAUACCCAUAGAGAAGGUAAUGCUGGAGGUGAGGUGUAACUAGAUGAAAGAGACAGCGUGUGAUGAGAGAGAAAUGGAGAAGAGAAGACAGAAAAACUGGAAGAAAACUGAAGACGGAGGCUGAGAUGCAGCAAGAGUCUCCUCUUUUCAGUCUUGGGCUUUCUGAAUUACACGCUGCAAUAUUAGCUGCGUACAGUUGCUGUGAUUGGACUCCAUGGGUGGCCUGAGCAGUUUUCAGACAAUGGAGCUGGUUCUUUUCUCACUCACACCAGUGUAACUCGUUGGCUUCAGUGGAGUUACUCUUGAUUCACAGUGCUAUGAAAGGAGAAUUGUGCUUGCUCUUUCAUAUGUUCUUUCAUCUCCAUGAUAUUUUUGCUUACAUGUAUAAUUGAUUUUCUGGGAAUAUCUUCUGCUGCUGAAAGGUAGACCUAGGAACUUCCUAAGAUGGAAAUAAAUUUAAGCAUUUUUUAGGUCACUGAGUUCAAUCCACUGCCGCUACACCACCGUGUUAUAUAAUUUCUUUCAUAAACUGAUGAGGCUUUAAACAUUCAUUAAGACUCUAUUCUUACUACAGUUGGUAAAUCCAGACAGAAAGGUUAGUUACGUCCCGUUUAAGUUCAAAACCACAACUGAAAUUAUUUUCAAAUGCUCUAGAGGUAUUUUCCUUUUUCACACAUGCCCCACUUUUCAGUACAGCAACCACAAUAAAGGCUUCGUUCUUGGCAGAGGUAGGCUCAGCUCUGAGAAAGCACGGUCCUGAGAUUACAGGGGUACUUAGGAAAGGGUACCGUGUAGUUUUUUUAUUCAUGGUCACAUCCCUCUCACAGAUUUUAGUGGGAGUUACAAGCAGUCAUCCGCCAACAAAUUUUUACCAUGCCUGAAGUGCCACCCUGAAAGUCAAUUACAGAAGGAGAAGGGUAUGGAACCGCUGAGUACAAGUUGGCUGAGGAUGGGUUACUGCAGACUUCAACUUACUUAGGUUGGGCUACCUUCUCUUUACCAUCCUGUCUUAGCAAACCCCCUCUGUUUCAGCCAAAUUUGUUCCUCAUUUAUGGAAUUCCUGGGCCUAAUUGGCAUGAAGCUGAAAAUCAUCAAUAUAACCAAGAAGUUUAAUUGUAGUUAAAGCAUAGAUGAAAGGCAGAGCCCCAUUUUUUCUAUUACAUAGUGUAAAUACGAUGAUUCAGCUGAAGCUAACAGGAUUAUACUGUUAUCUGUGCAUGCCACUGUGAUACCUACAUGCCCUCCCUACCUUCCCUUUGGUCUUUCAGCAUAUGUGCCCACUACCAACGUGGAAUAUAAUUUUAUUUUUUGCCCUGCGUUCCUAAAUCUCUGUUCUACACCUUGCCCUAGCAAGCCCAUUGCCCGUACUUCCCUGCUGAAGCUUAGCUUCAGAAAUUGCAUUUGUUACUGGGGAACUUCUUGACUUCUUCGGAGGCAACUUUGGUUUCCAGCUGCUGGAAAAUGGUGGCUGCCCAGCAGAAGAAA